AGCUCCAGUGGCGUAUAUUAAUGCUGCUGCAGUUAAAAAGCUCGUAGUUGGAUCUAGGGCUUAGGCUAACGGUCCCUCGCAAGGGGUGCACUGUUUGUUCCUAGCCUCCCUCGCGGCUUGCGCCCGGUUCUCUUAACUGAGUGCCGGGUGCGGCCGGAACGUUUACUUUGAAAAAAUUGGAGUGUUCAAAGCAGGCGCAACAGCCUGAACAGCAGAGCAUGGAAUAAUGGAAUAGGACCUCGGUUCUAUUGCGUUGGUUUUCGGAGUCCGAGGUAAUGAUUGAGAGGGACUGACGGGGGCAUUCGUAUUGCGGUGUGAGAGGUGAAAUUCUUGGAUCGCCGCAAGACGACCGACAGCGAAAGCAUUUGCCAAGAAUGUCUUCA
rnacentral:rRNA from 1 species